UGGGGUAUGUCUUACUGGUAGAGAGCUUGCCUAGCAUGCAUUAGGCCCUGGGUUUUAUCCCCAGUACUGAAA
rnacentral:tRNA from 1 species